rnacentral:pre_miRNA from 1 species
CUUCAGUGAACAUUCAACGCUGUCGGUGAGUUUGGAAUUCAAAUAAAAACCAUCGACCGUUGAUUGUACCCUGUAG